rnacentral:lncRNA from 1 species
UAAUACUUAAAGUCCAUCUAAACAACUAAAAGCCACAUGAACAUCCUACAAAUUUGCCAACCACCACAAUCUAUGCUCACUUGAAACUUCUCAAUUGCCUUCAAAUAUGUAGGCAUAUUCACUCUUUCAAUAGUUUCAAAAAUUUUAAUACAAUUUGCAAUUGAGUACUGCCCAGAACUCAAAGUUGCAGCUGUAUAUUGUGUAUCAUCAUAUUGUUCCUUAUCUAGUUAGCCUCUGCUAGGGAUCUGAUGGCAUCUGCUAACUCUGAAACUCUUGAUUGACUUCUCACAUGACGGAUACUCUCAUUGAAAAUUGGAUCUCUUGGAUGACGACAGUUUCUUGAACCACUAGACUCUCCAUCUAUACUAACAUCAUCAAAAAGAAAUUCGUUGUCUUGAAAAUCACUGCUAUCUGACACAUCUUGGGUGCUUG